rnacentral:rRNA from 1 species
UGAGGAAUAUUGCCCAAUGGACGAAAGUCUGAGGCAGCAACGCCGCGUGGGUGAUGAAGGCCUUCGGGUCGUAAAACCCUUUUCCGGGGGAAGAGUAAGGACGGUACCCCAGGAAUAAGUCACGGCUAACUACGUGCCAGCAGCCGCGGUAAUACGUAGGUGGCAAGCGUUAUCCGGAUUCAUUGGGCGUAAAGCGCGUGCAGGCGGUCCUGUAAGUCGGAUGUGAAAGCUCCUGGCUUAACUGGGAGAGGUCGUUCGAUACUGCGGGGCUUGAGGUCGGGAGAGGGACGUGGAAUUCCCGGUGUAGUGGUGGAAUGCGUAGAUAUCGGGAGGAACACCAGUGGCGAAGGCGACGUCCUGGCCCGCACCUGACGCUAAGACGCGAAAGCGUGGGUAGCGAACGGG